GUAGGUGAACCUGCGGAAGGAUCAUUACAGAGUAUCAUGCCCUCACGGGUAGAUCUCCACCCUUGAAUAACAUACCUUUGUUGCUUUGGCAGGACGCACUCGUGCCAGGGGCUUCGGCUCCUGAGUGCCUGCCAGAGGACCACAACUCUUGUUUUUAGUGAUGUCUGGGUACUAUAAAUAGUUAAAACUCUCAACAACGGAUCUCUUGGUUCUG
rnacentral:misc_RNA from 1 species